AGGCCUAAAACAUGCAAGUCGAACGCUGUAGCAAUACGGAGUGGCAGACGGGUGAGUAACACGUGGGAACGUGCCUUUUGGUUCGGAACAACUGAGGGAAACUUCAGCUAAUACCGGAUAAGCCCUUCGGGGGAAAGAUUUAUCGCCAAAAGAUCGGCCCGCGUCUGAUUAGCUAGUUGGUGGGGUAACGGCCCACCAAGGCUACGAUCAGUAGCUGGUCUGAGAGGAUGAUCAGCCACACUGGGACUGAGACACGGCCCAGACUCCUACGGGAGGCAGCAGUUAGGAAUCUUGGACAAUGGGCGCAAGCCUGAUCCAGCCAUGCCGCGUGAGUGAUGAAGCUCUUAGGGUUGUAAAGCUCUUUCAGCGGGGAAGAUAAUGACGGUACCCGCAGAAGAAGCCCCGGCUAACUUCGUGCCAGCAGCCGCGGUAAUACGAAGGGGGCUAGCGUUGCUCGGAAUCACCUGGGCGUAAGGCGCACGUA
rnacentral:rRNA from 1 species